rnacentral:rRNA from 1 species
GUGCCAGCAGCCGCGGUAAGACGGAGGGUGCAAGCGUUGUUCGGAUUGACUGGGCGUAAAGGGCGUGUAGGCGGUCGGCCAAGUCUGAUGUGAAAGCCCGAGGCUCAGCCUCGGAAGUGCGUCGGAAACUAGUCGGCUGGAGCGCGAUAGAGGAGGGUGGAAUUCCUGGUGUAGCGGUGAAAUGCGUAGAUAUCAGGAGGAACACCGGCGGCGAAGGCGGCCCUCUGGAUCGUUGCUGACGCUGAGACGCGAAAGCGUGGGGAGCAAACAGGAUUAGAUACCCUGGUAGUCC